UAACUCUAGUGUCUUUUCAUUUGGGGAUAAAUCUUUCCCCUUUUACUAAAGAUUUCCGUAGGGAGGCACAAUACAAUAAGUCUUGCUUCAUUUUUUUCAGCUCUGUCUUCGGACGGAGU
rnacentral:snRNA from 1 species